GACAGAGGGUGCAAGCGUUAAUCGGAAGUACUGGGCGUAAAGAGUUCGUAGGCGGUUAGUUAAGUUGGACGUGAAAUCCCCGGGCUUAACCUGGGAGGGUCAUUCAAAACUGGCUAACUUGAGUGGGGUAGAGGAAAGUGGAAUUUCCGGUGUAGCGGUGAAAUGCAUAGAUAUCGGAAGGAACACCAGUGGCGAAGGCUGCUUUCUGGUCCCUUACUGACUCUGAGGAACGAAAGCGUGGGGAGCAAACAGG
rnacentral:rRNA from 1 species